rnacentral:lncRNA from 1 species
GGUGAUCAAUAAAUAUAUAUAUUUUCCUCAAAAAAAUACAUACUUAAUAUUAAUUUUUAUCUUGAAGAAAUCGUUAUUUCUUAACUUUGAACUUUACACAAAAAUUAGGGAAACCUUGGUAAGUAUUUUUUUUAAGUACAUUUUUAGGGAAUAAGUGUCACGUCCCCCGACCCACCCUGGACGGAAUCGGGAGCCGCGAGCAGCCAAGUGGUACCGGUGGUUAUAUUGCAGCAGAAAUUUCAUCAGGACCGUGAGUUAGGAAAAAUAUCAGAGUUUAGAAACACCGGAUUUUAUUUAUUAAAUAGAUGGGAUAAAACCCAUGUUUUACAAUGGUAGCUUUAAUAUGGGAUAAACCCAAAUACAUAAAAUGACUUCUCUUAAUUUAAUUUAAUUGAUAAAAUAAGCCACUUCUUUAUGCCUUUUGGUGCCGUAUCCAACUCUUAUUCCAAUCUACUGUAAUUACCUGAAACGCGUUUUAAAAAGGUUUUGUCAGCGGGAAAUACUGAGUGAAUCAUUCUUUUUGUUUAAAGCAAUGCUUGGUUAUAAUUUACAGUAUUAAGAGCGAUUACAAUGUUUCUAUAUAUCAACCAUAUACCCACGGUAUUUGUCACUCGACCUCCUAUUGGCUACCUCGUUGUCCAAUUGGUGUCUGUGACUAUGGUCAUAUCACCCCUUGGCUAACCCGUUGUCCAAUGGUGACGGUUAUCAAGUAAUGUAUACAAAACCCCACAUACCGGCUGUAACUUGGUGAUUACAAAGACUUAAUCCCUGUAAUUAUAACUUUGAAAAUAAAUAGGGUUUUGGAAACAAUUUGGUAAAAAGAGAAUGACUCACAUUAUAAGCAUGCGGAUUUACACAGGCAGAGCUUAGCCUAUUGAUUAGUCUUGUAACCUAGGGCACACGAACUAGGUAAGUAACUAAUACAGCAUUUACGAUAACUCACGAGAUUAAAACCCCCACAACGAAUGAAAAAGUGCAAUACUUAAACAUCCAUCGAAUUGAAUUAACGACGAAUGACAAAGCAUAACCCAAGUUUGAGCAGCACUUAAACAUUCAUCGGAUAGUUUCAAUCAAUCGGACAUUGAAUCGUAGCAGCGAUCGAGUUAUUACCCUGUUUUGCGGCAGCGUUUCGUGCUAGUGUGUGUUUGGUAGUAAUCAGGUGAUAUCUCAAAGUGUAAAACGAAUUUGUUCAUUGUUCCAACGCAGAAAUCUAAGUCCCACAACCCUCUAUUUAUACUGAGAAUUUGAACCGCCCGCGAGUCGCGAAGGGAUCCUCCUCCCCUGUCGCGUGUCGCGGGGCACACCUCCCUAGCCUAGGGUUGCCUCGUCACUUGUCUAGGUCUGCUGAGUUGACGUUUCAUGAAAAUUCGAUUUUUGACAACAAAUUGUGAAGAUAAUUUCAAUUAGGGAAUACCCCCCUGAGUUUAGGGGGCCCUGAUCCUAAUUUCAAUUGUUCUGAAAAUUUUAGGGGUUCAACUAGAAAACCUCCUGGUAGAAUUUUGGGUAUAAUUUCUGAGCUAUAUAAAAAUAUAUAUUUGUAAUUGUGUUAAGUAUAAUACCCCUAAUUCAACCUUAUCCUGAUGUCCCGAGACAGAACCCCAAUAAACUUAGUCGGGCAGAGCCUUGACAUGCGUUAUGGGGCUCAGAUCAAUCGGAAAGGGUAGCGGUGAUCGGGAAAUUUUAGAAAGAUAGAGGAUGGCGAAAGAC